CACUGCAGGGAUUUGGGCUUUUACUCUGAAGUGGAUGGGAAGCCACUGGCGGGAUCUGAGCAGAGAAGACAUGAGACUCACCCAGCAGUGUAAGAAAAUAAACAAACUCUGAGAGGCUGUGAGUUUUGAAUUGCAGAGGGUAAAACCAGAGCCAAAAGUUCCAGAGAAAAUAUUUCAAGCUUCGGGUGUGUUUGAGGAACUGAGAAGUCACAGAAUAGCUGGAAAAGAGGAUGUAGUGUAAAGUAAACUCAGCUGCACAGACAUAUGGUCUGUUGGUGGAACUGGAGUCCGACCAGAUAAUGAUCAUCAGCGAGGCAGUGCUCUGAAGAAGCCUCUCAUCCACAGGUGGGGGUCCCCUGCCCUCCAGCGAGCCUAGUUGAGCCCCAGCUGG
rnacentral:lncRNA from 10 species